rnacentral:rRNA from 1 species
AAUGAACGCUGGCGGCAGGCCUAACACAUGCAAGUCGAACGGAUCCUUCGGGAUUAGUGGCAGACGGGUGAGUAACGCGUGGGAACAUACCCAAAGGUACGGAAUAGCCUCGGGAAACUGGGAGUAAUACCGUAUGUGCUCGAAAGAGGAAAGAUUUAUCGCCUUUGGAUUGGCCCGCGUUGGAUUAGGUAGUUGGUGGGGUAAUGGCCUACCAAGCCGACGAUCCAUAGCUGGUUUGAGAGGAUGAUCAGCCACACUGGGACUGAGACACGGCCCAGACUCCUACGGGAGGCAGCAGUGGGGAAUCUUAGACAAUGGGGGAAACCCUGAUCUAGCCAUGCCGCGUGAUCGAUGAAGGCCUUAGGGUUGUAAGGAUCUUUCAGGUGGGAAGAUAAUGACUGUACCACCAGAAGAAGCCCCAGCUAACUCCGUGCCAGCAGCCGCAGUAA